CCCUUUGCGAUAUAAUACUUAAACAAUAAAAAGUUGAAUCAAAUAUAUGGUUAUUGAUAUUCCCUGUCAAAUUAGAUAUAUGGAUAUAACAAAUCGAUUUACAGGUAAAUACAUAGAUAUACCUUAUCGAUUUACAGGUAAAUACAUACAAUGUAGGUAUACCUUAUCGAUUUACAGGUAAAUAUAUGGAUAUACCAAAUCGAUUUACAGGUAAAUAUAUGGAUAUACCAAAUCGAUUUACAGGUAAAUAUAUGGAUAUACCAAAUCCAUUUACAGGUAAAUACAUGGAUCUACCAAAUCAAAUUAAACACAUGGAUAUAUAUGGAUGAUAGGUUAGGAAUUUGUGCCAUUUCUCUGGGAUCUCUACCACACUAUACUAUAACUAUGUAUUCUUUGGCUCAUUUGAUUUGUAUCGAUGUUCACAAUCAACUUGUGUUUUUCAUCAGGUCAAAUGAAAACUUGUUUUCAUGAUCUUGAAUUAGAUUAAUUGAAGCUUUCCUUCGGUAAUUUUUUUUCUGGGUAUGACAUUAAUAAAGGUUUUUAUGAAAAGGAAAAUAUUAUUUCAUACACAAGUCACAAGUAUAUGAGUAAAACUUACAGUAAAAUGCAACCUAAUUGCAUAAUUGUUCUAAAAUCUGCCAUAGGAAACAAUGAUUUUUUUAUUUGAUUUUCACCACAAUAUUAUUUAAUCCACAGAAUCCAUUAGAUAGACACAUUUCAUUGUUUUGUUUUUCAAAACAUGUUUUCUAUCUGUUGUCUGUUCAUCACAAAACUUACUUUUUAGGUCCAUAAGCUUAAGGUUUGUUUUUAACAUACUUAUGUUGGCUCAAACUUUGGCCCAUUAGCAAACUAUAGUGCAAUUGUGAGAAAAAGUAUGAAUAAAGUAAUUACCAAAAUUUAGUGCAAAGCUUAAUGUGUGUAAAAUAAGUUUACCACUUAAAUAUAUCUGUUUACAGUAAUUAUCUAGAUUAAUCAAAAUGAAACAUCAAACUAUUAUAUUAAUUCUUCAUUGCGCUAAUCUAUUAAGAUUUGGUAAUGUGUAAAAAUUUGAGUGAAACAAAAUUAGUGUAUUUACGCUAUGUUUGCAAAUCAUUAAAGCAAGUAAUUUAUAUUAAUGUUUUUCAUAUAUCAGAAAUAUGUUUAUAAUUAGGAGAAAGUAUCUACUUGGUAAGGGCAAAUGUUAAAACAAUUAUUUCAAAGUUUAACAUCUAGCUAUCAGCUUUCAUUCAAUGCUGGGCUAUGAGAAGCAACAUUUUGUUUUUCUCAAUUUUAAAAAUAAUUGUCAUCUCACAUACAAAAAGAAGAAGAUAAUUCUGUAGUCAUUAAAUGUGAUAACAAUAAAAUCUAAGAGAUGUAUAUUAAAGCUUUCAGAAAAUAUACAAAGGACACUUAGAUCAUUCUUGAAUGGCGUGUGGGCCUACUGACAAAGGACAAUGUAUUAUUAUAGAAGGGGCCACUGCUAGCUUGUGGUAGUAGUUAAAAUCACCCUUAAAUAUGAACACUAUCAUUUAAGAUUCAUUAAUAAAUUAACACUGUUAUUAAAAUGACCCCAAAUGAACUGUUGUUUAGUGAUUAACACAUUUAAUUAGUUAAAAUUUGGUACUCAUUUCUCCAAAGACAGUCAAUUACCACGGGCUAUUGAUGGUAAAACACCACAUAUUUAAUUGACUUUUAAUGGUUGAAUGAUUGAAGUCUUAUCAUUAAAGAAAGAUGUUGAAGAAAUAAAUUGUUUGGUUUAGAACAUAUUUCAUUUAAUUGCUCCAAAUUUUUCCAAUUCCAGUUAAUUUAUUCCUUUGGCCUUUUAUAUUUUAUUUAGCUAAACACAGGUACCAUUCUGGAGCUGACGUCGACGUAACUGCUGUAGUCUAACUUAGACAUGUCCUUUGAAAUAUAACAUAUGCAUUUAUAUCAUAAGUGACAGAAGUCAGCCCCUGGCCUCAUCAUGUAGACACGACAAAAAUGUCAGACUAAUUGAAAUACAUCUAAAUAUAAAGGAUCUCCAUCUAUAGUUGUUAAUUAUGAAGUUACAUUUGAAUAUCCUUGAGGAUAUUAUUUACAUUGCUACCUUUAAAAACUCUGGAUGAAUUUCAGGUAUGAAUUACAAUAAUGUAAGAAAUAGAGGGUUUAAAGACAAGUUAUAGUUUGUGUUAUUUAGUCUCCUGAUGUGUUUUAGUUGUACCCGCACUGGUUGUGCUGUGUUGAAUGUUAUAUAUAUAUAUUUGAUGUCAUUAUUUAUUGUUAUAUGAUAAAGGUCAAGGACGCUCAGUAUAGCAAAGGUCGAAAGUUCCGUUUGACGCAUAUAUAUCUUAACUUAUGAUUGACAUACUGAUACGCCAAACUGAUGUAGAGGAUAGAAUAUACAUCUGUAGUAUAGAUCACAGGGACUUGACUCGUUCCUAUGACCAAGAAUGAAACCCCAGAGUCCGACCUCUAGUUAACUUGAUCAUUAUUGUCAAUAAUAAGUUAUCUAGGAGUCCCUGUGAUUACAGACAUAUUUGAUUUCUGACAUUCUCAGAUAUAGAAAUCUGGUAGAAUUCAAAUUUUCAAUAGCUACAUGACAAGCCUUAUUUUGAGAACAUGACAUCAGAUCUUUUCCUGCAUUUUUUGAAAAACUAACUGUAAAUGUACUUAAUUUGAUGCACUUAAAUUUUAGAGCAAAACCAAAUAAAAAAGAUUAGUAGAUGAUGAAUUGGCAACAAUGAUUGCCAUAGACUAGAUUUUCUUGGCGGGUGUUGUCAAUGAAACAGAAGGCAAUUACAAACUUCUGGAAGACUUUGAUUUGGUCAUGUUGUUUUUCUAAGGGUUCCUUUUGAAUUUCUAUGUUUGUGUCUGAUGUCAUUGAUUUUCCAUUAUACACAAACUUGAACAGUUAUUUUUGUGACCAUUGCUCUCCUGAGUGACCUUGACCUCAUUUGUUAUCAUUGAAGAGAUUAUAUUACAUUUAAUCAAGAGUUUUUCUGUUGUGUACAAAAUGGUUUAUUAUUACAAAAUACAUGUACAUGUAUAAUAUAAGCUAAAUAUUAUACUUAUGGUUUCAGAUUUCAUUUUGAACAUUAUUUAUUAGUGCAAGUGAGUUAAGAGUUUUAUUUCUUAAUAUGCUGUGUUACACACAGAAGGUUUAACUUAUAGAACUGUAACCUACAUUUUCUAUAUGCACAUGGACUCAACACAAAUUCCCAACACAUGCUAUCUAAUGAGAAUUAGAAGUUCAUUAUCCACUCCGUUAUCUCGGUAUGAACGGAGUUUACGGAGCGGACAACAGAGUGGACAAUGAACCUCUUAUUUUGAUUAGAUUGCAACCAGUGGUCCAUUAUACUUAAUAAGAAAAAGUCAUAAAUGCAUGAAGUGGGAAAAUAGAAAACAUCCAUAACAAAGUUAAACGGCCAAUUAACUAGCCGCUUUCAUGUUAUGGUACGGGUUUAAGAUAAAGUUAUAUCUACACAUUUAGAUGUUUAUUUAUACAGUGUAUGGACCCUGGGUGGAGGAUUUGUGUCGAGCCCCUGUGGUAAUAUGUAUACAGGUUACAUUUGAAGCAAGAUAUUGAAGCAUGGGUGGUUUUGAUAUGUGAUAAUGGAACCCUGAUCAUGGCAUUGUGAUCCUAAUUGCUUACAUGUAUAUUGUACUUUGGGUAUUGGCAUGUUAAAGUUUUGCCAUCGUCAGUAUUGGCAUGUUAAAUUUUGCCAUCGUCAUUUCUUCAUACAGCUUAAAGACAUAGUGUACCAAACUCAAACUUACUGAGUAAAUAUCUGAUAAAAUGUACAAAUUGUCGUAACUAACACAACAUCUGGUUUUGAAACGUUG